UUUUAUGGCGGCCAAAAUCAUCUCUGUUUACAUUUUUGUAGUUUUGUAGGUGGUUGGACAGAAGGAAAACGAAAGAAAAUUGAAAGGAGACGAUCGUAGAACUACCCCACUGGGAAAAUUACAAUUUGGCAGUGGGAUUUUAAAGAUUAAUCAAUAAUCUACGCUUGUCAUUAAUGAAGUUGGUAAAGAUGAGCAUGAUAGAAAGAUCCAAGAACAUGUUUUUCUUUUUCACAAAAUUCCAGUCCAAAACUUAUAAUUAAAAUUUCAAAUUCUAACUAUUAAAUUGUUCUUUAAAAGAAUAAACAAGAAUGAUAGAACAUGUUUAUUAUGGAUAGGAUGAAAAACAAUCAAAAAAAUAAAAAAUAAAUUCAAAACUCUAAUGUUUAGUUCCGGGUCAAUUUGAUUUUUUUCAUUUGAUUCAUAUUAAAAUAAAAUAUUAAAUAUAUAUUAAGUUAGAUCAAAUUUUAGAUUAAAAUAUGAAAAAUUAAAAAAAAUUAAAGUAUAUAUUUUUUAAAUUUUUAUGAAUUAAAAAUAAUCAUAAUUAUUUAUAAAUUUAUUUAAAUAUAUUAAAAAUUAUAUUAAAAUAAUAUAAAAAACAAAACAAUAAAUUUUAAAAAAUGAUAAGUGAAUCAAACCGAACCAAUAGAUUUUGAUUCAAAUUAAACCAAUUUUUUUAAAAAAUCAAUUAAAAUUUAGAUAAUUUUUUAAAAUAUAUAAUAUUAUUUAAAAAAAUUAAACUAAAUUCGAUUUAAACCAUUAUCACUUAUAAUUAUAGACAUCAAAAUAAUUUACUUUUUUUUAUCAAGAUGUCAUAGAUGCUUAAUAAUUAAAAAAUAAAUAAAUUUAAAGAAAAAUUUUGUCUUUAACACUUAAAAGGUUUUUUUUUAAUUUUUUAACAAAUUUAAUAAAUUUAUCGAUAAUUUAUAUAUAUUAUAAAUAAACAGUUAAAAAAAAUUUUUAAAAAAAUUUUCCGAACCCAUCCAUGUAAAGGUGAGCUAGCAAACUGGGGAGUGGGGACAUUACAUAAUUUUUAUUUGUAUUUUGUUUGAGCAUCAAAAGAACGCUCACCCAAAACGCACAAGGUAGUCAAAUUAAAAAAGGAAAAGAAAAGCUCACAGUGCUGAUUACUGCUGAUGACAAGAAAUAAUGCAAAAGUGAAAGCGGCAUCUACUGGAGCUUAACAUCAUCACGGAAGCAGUACAAACACCUUUUUCCCAUUUUGUCAGCGUUGGAAUGUUGGGGAAGGUGGGGAAGAAGAGAAUCAAAAGCAACUCGGUGCUUCAAAUAGUGAAAUUUGGUCAUCAGGGUGAGAGGUAGAGAUCGAGCUUGAUUUGCGGCAUUCAAAGCGGCUAAAAGCAAUUGAAAAAUGGUUGAUUGGGGAUUCUGGAUUUUAAUGCACUUUUAACGGGGUAUAAUUGAAUUUAAAUAUUAAUUUCACUUAAAUUUAUUUAAUAUAAUUUUUUAUGAAUUUUUUAAUUGUAAUUAUAAUAUUUUUUUUAAUUACAGUUAUAAUAAUAAUUCUUAUUUUUAAUUUUAUUAUUGAUCCAAAUAAAUCUUUACUUUUUAUAGAAUAUUAUUAUUAUUUUUUAUAUCACAAACUUGGAGACUUAAAUUUAAUUCCUUAACAUUAUUUUUUAUGUGGGAUACAAAAAAUAAAGGGAAUGAAAACAUGUGAAGAAAAAAAAUUUUUUAUUAUGUUUGAUACAAAAGAUGACAAAUAACGAAAUAAAUUAUGAUUAAAUUUAUUAACCUAAUUGUAAAGUUAAAAUAUCAAUCUCAAUCUGAUAUGAACUAAGCUUCUAAACAUACAAGCAUAAAAAGUGUCCGAAAGACCUUACUGCAUCUCAAAAAGAUGAUGAAGAAACUUGAACUCUUAGUUCCCAAUCUAUUCUUCUUUUAUUAAAGUGUAAAAUCUAAGUGAAUAUUUAUUGAUGGUAGAUAUUUUUGGUUGAAAAUCCAAUUUCUUUGUUUCUAUAGUUAGUACUUGCUAAAUGCUACAGAUUCCGAUUGACUGCAGUUUCCAGGAAAUUGCAGACCAUAUAAUUAAGUGGUUUAUCAGCAAUUUUCUGCCUCUGCUCAUGCUCUAAUUCUCUAAAUUUAAGACGUAAUCUUGCUGUACCAAAAGAUUUGAUGCACUUACCAAUGAUCAUUAACAUGACAACUGUGUUUUGCUUGACUUGUAAGUUUACAUACAAUAGAAUAGUGGUAAAAGCUUACAGGUUUGCCUAAUUUUUGACAAAGACAUGCACUGAUCCUUCACAGAUAAGGGUUACCUUGUUUCCACCCCAGAAAAAAAAGUUUUGCCCUCUCAUUGGCAAUUCUAGCUAAUAGUUAAAAUCUUAGGCAAGGCUCCACCUGACUAACCCCAAAGAGAUAAAUUUGGGCAUUGCUAACAGUAAAGAAACGAUAUUUUCCAGGGAGUAGUAGCCUGGAAACAUACAGAAUUGGCGACUCUGUUAGUCAAGAGAAAUGGACUUAAUUUUUAACAGUUUUCUUCUUACAAUUAAGUGCUGAAAAUAAACUGUAAAUUUAAGUAGAAGAAAUGAAAAUAUCUCUGAACCAGGACAUUGGGUUCUUUUUCCCAUUUUUUUUUCUCUUUUCUACUUUUGGGUAAUUCAGUAAUGCAUGAGAACUUCAUUAAACCAUUUCAUUUUCCAACUGACAUAACAAUUGUAAUCUUCUUCCUUGUGGGAAUAAUGGCAUAAUAAAUUUUACUACUAAUACACUUGACUAGCCAGAAACUGUAACGGUGAACACGAUUGAAAUUGAACUAUGUUCUACCAGGAAUCCAAAGAUUCCUACACACCCUUUUCAUUUUUUUUUCUUUCUCUCAAAAAACUCAAGGUGAAAAAGAAAAUUUAAUCUAAUAGUCCAAUAUGUACAACAAAUUCUCAACUUGCUAAUGCAAAGGUAAAUGAAAACGCCGCGGAUUGGGCAGCUUUUGUACUGUCAACCUUGUCUUGCCGUGGAGGUUCACAUGGACAUGGCAAUGCUAUGAACUUUGGGAUCUGAUCUCCUGGCAUUAAGACAGGCAAGCUUUGGCUCUGGUUUUUCUUUAAAUCCUGAAUAAAAGAAACACCAAAUAGAGGUUGAGCAUCAAAAAGUAUAGAAACCAUAUUUUAACAUGUCUAAUUAAGCAAAGGUGAGAGAAAAUUUACCAUGUACUCAGGCUUAGACUUCGAGGGAGAUGCUUCGAUAUCCUCGUCGGGAUGCGUGCCAUCGGCGAAAGACCGACGGAGUGAUAUGAGCUUGUCCCAGUGGUAGCAACAGGAGAAGAUGCCACUCAAACCGAAAAUGAAAAUUAACAGGAGAGCCGUGCCAAGAGGGAACCCGAGGGACGGUCGAGAUGCAUCAACGUGGGGUGGGGAAAGAGACUGACUCUCCAUCACAUAUACUCUUUCGGAACAACUGCUUCUUGUUGCUGUUGCUCCUUCUCUCAUACGUAUGAAAGGAGAAAGAAACUACGGUCAAACAGCAUGCAAAUUAUGGCAUUGAAAAAGAAUAGUAUUGUAUCGAGGAGGGGAAUGAGUGGGGGGGGGGAUUUAUAAAAUGAAUGGAAGGUUGCGUUAGUGUGUCCAUGGAAUGGUACAACGAAAAAUGUCCUUGGGAUCCGGACCAUGGUACGGAAUUGGGUGGGGUCCAAUUGUUGGGUGCAACCCAUAAAUAAAUAAAUAAAUAAAAGGGUUAAAAGCUAAAGCAGUAAAAAGAUCAGUUGGGUUUUGCGUGAUUGUUGGGGAAUAGAAGAAAGAAUUUGUUCGGGGUCGGAGAAAGCAGUACUUGUGUAAAGAUGUGAAAGCAAAAAUGGGAAAUUCAGAACAAAGGAUUAUAUAACGUUGGAAAGUGGUUUACCCUAAAAUAUCUUCAGUUUGUCCGGACAAAGGAUUAUACUUUGUUGUAAUCUAGGAUUUUAAUUUUUAACCAGUUGAUAUUAAGCUUUACCCUUUGUAAAUCAAGCUCAGCCUUUUGCCAAAUGAAAGGAAACUGGGGUCCUGAACUAUUGGUUCUACGGCAAGAGGAUGUUAUGGGUAUAUGGCUUUUUGAAGUUCAUGUUGGGCAAAAUCAGAAACCAAACCAAGGAACAAGAAGAAAGAAAUAUUGAGAAGCAAUUAAUUGAGUCAUUUCCUUUCAUGUCAUACAAUAAUUCCCUGAUUUUUUCCGGUUCACGAGUGUGAAUUAAGACAUCUUUAACAGCAAAGUGAAACUUGAAGAAAUUGCAAGGAAGUUUCCGAUUCAAGAAAGUUCCAAGAAAAAAAAAAUAUAUCCGAUCAUAAAAUAAUAGUAAUAGCAAUUUUUUAGGCGUCAGUUCUCCUAUGAUUGAAAGCAACAUCUCGGUGGCUAUGAAAAUCUUUAGAGAAGAUAAGAUAUGGCAUGUAGAAUUCAAAUUUGAAAUGCUUAAGAAGAUUUCAGCUGUCUUCUACCCGCAAAAAAAAAAUACAGAAAGGAAAAUCUAUCCCUUCAUUUUUCUUCAUGAUCCUGACUGUCAUAAGUUUUUUUAAUCGUUGAAACUGACUUGCUUGCUUCAUCAUAAGUAGUUAAACAAAAUCGGAUUUCUUUGAAAGAUCAAAAUUUUGGAAUGUUCAGUGUAGUCAAUGUAGCUUGGUGCAAACUAGAAAAUUGUUUAAUUCCAUUAUUCAUCAAAUAUUUUGAUAUCUGUAUCUUGCCAUAUUUAUAAAAUUAUAAGAGAUUUUAUUGUAGUUAGAGUUUCAAAUUUUGAUUUGUUAUCUAACAGGAUAAAGCUGGGAAGAAUUGAAUAAUUCAUAUGUCUUAUGGUACACUAAAUAAAAAAAAUUAAAAUAAUUUAUACAAAAGGAUACUUCUAUCCUUGUUAAGUAAUAAAAAAAAAUUAAAAACUUGGAUUAAGACAUUAAAAUUUUAUCAUCAACAAUAACAAAAAAAUAAAAAUAAAAUAAUUGAAUUUUACAUCAUCAUCCAACAGUUGGGAUAAGACCGGUGGGAAUCCACCAAGGAUUGUCCAUGAAAGGCCUGUCCCAUGUGAUUUUGCUGAAGAACAGGGUCCCCAUUGGAUAAGGAUGCUUAUCAACCGUACGUUUACAAAUCCUACUUUUUCACUCAAAUUUCUUUGAAUAUUAGGGAACACAAUGGACUAAGCUGCUUUUAUGGCGGCCAAAAUCAUCUCUGUUUACAUUUUUGUAGUUUUGUAGGUGGUUGGACAGAAGGAAAACGAAAGAAAAUUGAAAGGAGACGAUCAGAAAACUACCACAUUGGGAAAAUUACAGCUUGGCGGUUGGGAUUUUAUAUGAUUAAUCAAUAAUCUACGCUUGUAAUUAAUGAAGUUAGUAAAGAUGAACAUGUUAGAAAGAUCCGAGAAAACGGUUCUUUUUCAUAAAAUUCAAGUCCAAACUUAUAAUUAAAAUUUCAAAUUCUAACUAUUAAAAUGUUUUUUAAAAGAAUAAACAAGAAUGAUAGAACAUGUUUAUUAUGGAUAGGAUUAAAAAAUAAA
rnacentral:lncRNA from 1 species